rnacentral:rRNA from 1 species
AGUGAACGCUGGCGGUAGGCCUAACACAUGCAAGUCGAACGGCAGCACAGUAAGAGCUUGCUCUUACGGGUGGCGAGUGGCGGACGGGUGAGGAAUACAUCGGAAUCUACUUUUUCGUGGGGGAUAACGUAGGGAAACUUACGCUAAUACCGCAUACGACCUACGGGUGAAAGCAGGGGAUCUUCGGACCUUGCGCGAUUGAAUGAGCCGAUGUCGGAUUAGCUAGUUGGCGGGGUAAAGGCCCACCAAGGCGACGAUCCGUAGCUGGUCUGAGAGGAUGAUCCGCCACACCUGAACUGAGACACGGUCCAGACUCCUAAGGGAGGGAGCAGUUGGGAAUAUUGGACAAUGGGCGGAAGCCUGAUCCAGCCAUACCGCGUGGGUGAAGAAGGCCUUCGGGUUGUAAAGCCCUUUUGUUGGGAAAGAAAAGCAGCAGGUUAAUACCCCGCUGUUCUGACGGUACCCAAAGAAUAAGCACCGGCUAACUUCGUG